rfam:Coniochaeta ligniaria NRRL 30616 unplaced genomic scaffold CONLIGscaffold_1, whole genome shotgun sequence.
ACUCUAAUAGUCGAGUAGUAAGAUUCUAAUUUGAUAAGUUAAAGGCUUAGGUUCGAUUCCUAAUUAGAGUA